rnacentral:rRNA from 1 species
UACGUAGGGGGCAAGCGUUAUCCGGAUUUACUGGGUGUAAAGGGAGCGUAGGCGGCCUGGCAAGCCUGAUGUGAAAUACCGGGGCCCAACCCCGGGGCUGCAUUGGGAACUGCCAGGCUGGAGUGCCGGAGAGGCAGGCGGAAUUCCUAGUGUAGCGGUGAAAUGCGUAGAUAUUAGGAGGAACACCAGUGGCGAAGGCAGCGUACCGGCGCCAGACUGACGCUGAGGCACGAAAGCGUGGGGAUCGAACAGG